ensembl:lncRNA
AAGCCAGUCCUCAACCAUGGGUUUAUCAGAGUUGCUGAGAUCUUACUUAAGAACUAAUGCUGCAAGUCGCGCAGAACGCGCCGAAUCAGCCCGCGCCGAAUCAGCCCGCUGCAGACAGGCAGGUCUGCGGACGCCCUAGCAACGUCGCCAGUCGCACGGAACUCGCCGAAUCAGCCCGCGCGCCCUGGCAGCAAUCCACUAGACACCACCCCCCACCCCGCUCCUCGGUACAGCCACCUGGUUCCACAGUACAAAGGUGCAGAGGACACCGGACCACCAGACCACUGUACUGGGAUAAAAUACUUGAGGCUGAAGAAGGUAUGAUUCACCUCGGUCAUGGAACAAAGGCACAGUGAGACUACAAUCAGAUGUGUUCUGCCUGUUCAGUCAGCCACCUGAAGCUGACCCCCGGAGGUGGAGCGUUAGCAGAUGGUCUCCAAAGGCAUUUUCUGGUAAAAGACAAGCUAUGGUCCUCCACCGCAAGCUUGUUUCCAAGUCUCAGGGAUGUUCUCAGGUCCAUUAAUAAUACUCUCUUUUUUUGGUAAUAAAUUUGUAAAUUAAUACAAUAAAUCAAGUGUCUCUAUAGCUAUCCUUCAUAUGAUAUGAAAACACUAUGGUAUCUGAAAAUAGGCUCUCUCAGACACUAUGGUGAAAACUUUUAUAAGAAAAAGAAUGAAAUAAAAAUGUGACAG